AUGCGAUAAGUAAUGUGAAUUGCAGAAUUCAGUGAAUCAUCGAAUCUUUGAACGCACAUUGCGCCCGCCAGUAUUCUGGCGGGCAUGCCUGUUCGAGCGUCAUUUCAACCAUCAAGCCCCCGGCUUGUGUUGGGGACCUGCGGCUGCCGCAGGCCCUGAAAAGCAGUGGCGGGCUCGCUAGUCACACCGAGCGUAGUAGAUUUCAUCUCGCUCAGGGCGUGCUGCGGGUUCCGGCCGUUAAACCACCUUCAUAACCCAAGGUUGACCUCGGAUCAGGUAGGAAGACCCGCUGAACUUAA
rnacentral:misc_RNA from 1 species